rnacentral:rRNA from 1 species
UACGAGGGGGGCAAGCGUUGUUCGGAAUUAUUGGGCGUAAAGGGCGCGUAGGCGGUUUGACAAGUCUGAUGUGAAAUCUAUGGGCUCAACCCAUAGCCUGCAUUAGAAACUGUCGGGCUUGAGUAUGGGAGAGGUGAGUGGAAUUUCCGGUGUAGCGGUGAAAUGCGUAGAUAUCGGAAGGAACACCUGUGGCGAAAGCGGCUCACUGGACCAUAACUGACGCUGAGGCGCGAAAGCUAGGGGAGCAAACAGG